rnacentral:rRNA from 1 species
AGCGGCAGACGGGUGAGUAACGCGUGGGAACAUACCCUCCGGUUCGGAAUAACUCAGGGAAACUUGAGCUAAUACCGGAUACGGCUUAGCGGCGAAAGAUUGAUCGCCGGAGGAUUGGCCCGCGUCCGAUUAGCUUGUUGGCGGGGUAACGGCCCACCAAGGCGACGAUCGGUAGCUGGUCUGAGAGGAUGAUCAGCCACAUUGGGACUGAGACACGGCCCAAACUCCUACGGGAGGCAGCAGUGGGGAAUAUUGGACAAUGGGCGCAAGCCUGGUCCAGCCAUGCCGCGUGAGUGAUGACGGCCUUAGGGUUGUAAAGCUCUUUCGCCAGGGACGAUAAUGACGGUACCCGUAGAAGAAGCUCCGGCUAACUUCGUGCCAGCAGCCGCGGUAAUACGAAGGGGGCUAGCGUUGUUCGGAAUUACUGGGCGUAAAGCGCGCGCAGGCGGCCGAUCAAGUCAGGGGUGAAAGCCCGGAGCUCAACUCCGGAAUUGCCUUUGAAACUGAUCGGCUUGAGUACGGGAGAGGUGAGUGGAAUUCCCAGUGUAGAGGUGAAAUUCGUAGAUAUUGGGAAGAACACCGGUGGCGAAGGCGGCUCACUGGCCCGUUACUGACGCUCAGGCGCGACAGCGUGGGGAUCAAACAGGAUUAGAUACCCUGGUAGUCCACGCCGUAAACGAUGGAUGCUAGCCGUUGGAUAGCUUGCUAUUCAGUGGCGCAGCUAACGCAUUAAGCAUCCCGCCUGGGGAGUACGGCCGCAAGGUUGAAACUCAAAGGAAUUGACGGGGGCCCGCACAAGCGGUGGAGCAUGUGGUUUAAUUCGA